UACAGAGUCUGCAAGCGUUAUUCGGAUUCACUGGGCGUAAAGGGUGCGCAGGCGGCCAAGUGUGUGAGGCGUGAAAGCCUGGGGCUUAACCCCAGAAUUGCACCUCAAACUACUUGGCUAGAGCAUUGGAGAGGGUAGCAGAAUUCAUGGUGUAGCAGUGAAAUGCGUAGAUAUCAUGAGGAAUACCAGAGGCGAAGGCGGCUACCUGGACAAUUGCUGACGCUCAGGCACGAAAGCGUGGGGAGCAAAAGGG
rnacentral:rRNA from 1 species